UCAACAAAAUACACUUUCAAGGCCUCAAAAGAUUCUUCUUAGGGUUUCUACUGGUUUUGCUUUGUAUCUAGAUUCGGGCUUGGGUCCUAUUCUGGGUCCUGAUCUGUAAGAGGAGCAUGGAUUGGGGUGAGUUGCACAUAUUCAGUAAGAACAAUCAAGUAUUGUAGUAGUACAUACAAGAUGUUAAAACAUUCAUAAUGUACGAAGCGAAAUACAUUUAAUUGAAAAUAAACAUAUCAUUUUGAAAUACU
rnacentral:lncRNA from 1 species